GCCGGGCAUGGUGGUGCGUGCCUGCAGUCCCAGCUACUUGGGAGGCUGAGGCGGGAGGAUCACUUGAGCCCGAGGAGGUUGAGGCUGCAGUGAGCCAUGAUUGUGCCACUGCAUUCCAGCUUGGGUGACAGAGUAAAACCCUGUCUCAU
rnacentral:SRP_RNA from 1 species